AGGAUUUUAUGAGAAAAUGCUCCAAUCAGAUUCCAUGCAACAAAAAAACUAUUCUCCUUACUAUAUCCGGAUUAAUUAAAUAUCAGUUUCCUUCUGAUGGCCACCCUCAUUAAAAGUCAACUUAAAAUAGCACAUUUAUGAAAAAUACAUAUUGCAGGACUAUAAUUCCUUUUCAACAGACCUGUCAAAUGUGUGUUUCAUUAAAGUCUUCGAUAAUAUUCCAACAGCCAGUAUGUUUUGAUAGAAAUAUAUGUAACAUUCUGCAUGACAAUGUAUAGUACCCCUGUCUUUCAAGAGUAGCCUAAAAAUUAUACCAUAUUCUGUCUGUCUGUCCUUCAGUCUAUCCAUCUAUCAUCUUACUACUACCUAUCUAUCAUACUAAUAAAAGCAACAAUAACUGUAAUAAUUGAUCAAUGACAUUUGAGUGUACCAGUGAUCCAUGCAAUUAACAGUUUAAAGGAGAUGUAUCAAGGAAAAAACAAGAGGUAUUCUGGGGCAAAGUGCUAAAUAUGGAGCAAUCACCAUGGAAACCUAUAGAAUGUCUGUCAAUAUUUAGCACCUUGCACCUGUAUAGCUUUGAUUAAACCAGGCCAUUUUUGAGGAAAGAGGAAAGAAUCAACAAAUUACUAGACCUGUGCAUUUGGCUUCAAAUGAUUUGCCAUUCUUUAGUAUUUUAAAGAAUCUGUGAUUCAUUCAAAUUUUGCAACUCUGAAACAGCAUAUGGACAAAUCAUAAAAACAAAGCAAGCAGUAAAUGGAUGAGUCGUUGACUUUUACUUGCUUUGUGAUUUGGAUUUCCAUUUGUGUUGCCAGAAAAAAGGAUAGAAUGGAGAAGAAGCUGAUUUUUUUAGAGGGGAAUGGAUUUGAAG